CAGGCAGCACCACUGAGGACCACAUACUGACUACAGGCAACACUGCUGUGUCUGAGGACCACAUACUGACUACAGGCGGCACCACUGUGUCUGAGGACUAACAACAUGAAUAGGAACUAAUAUAGGAGGCAUUAUGAAAAUUAUUCAAGGUUCCAUUUUUAAAAAAGCUUUAAAAAAAACGAAGUCUGGGAACUUUGUUUUGCUGCUAUUUGUCUUUAUCAUCAUUAUAACAUGUUGUUGUGUCUGUCUCUCCCAGGCUAGGGGUCAGAGGGUCAUGUUGUUGUGUCUGUCUCUGCCAGGCUAGGGGUCAGGGGGUCAUGUUGUUGUGUCUGUCUCUGCCAGGCUAGGGGUCAGGGGGUCAUGUUGUUGUGUCUGUCUCUGCCAGGUCAGGGUCAGGGGGCCAUGUUGUUGUGUAUGUCUCUGCCAGGUCAGGUGUCAUGUUGUUGUGUCUGUCUCUGCCAGGCUAGGGGUCAGGGGGUCAUGUUGUUGUGUCUGUCUCUGCCAGGUCAGGGUCAGGGGGCCAUGUUGUUGUGUCUGUCUCAGCCAGGUCAGGGUCAGGGGGUCAUGUUGUUGUGUCUGUCUCUGCCAGGUCAGGGUCAGGGGGUCAUGUUGUUGUGUCUGUCUCUGCCAGGUCAGGGUCAGGGGUCAUGUUGUUGUGUCUGUCUCUGCCAGGCUAGGGGUCAGGGGGUCAUGUUGUUGUGUAUGUCUCUGCCAGGUCAGGGGUAAUGUUGUUGUGUCUGUCUCAGCCAGGUCAGGGGUCAGGGGGUCAUGUUGUUGUGUCUGUCUCUGCCAGGUCAGGGUCAGGGGGCCAUGUUGUUGUGUAUGUCUCUGCCAGGCUAGGGGUCAGGGGGUCAUGUUGUUGUGUCUGUCUCUGCCAGGUCAGGGUCAGGGGGCCAUGUUGUUGUGUAUGUCUCUGCCAGGCUAGGGGUCAGGGGGUCAUGUUGUUGUGUAUGUCUCUGCCAGGCUAGGGGUCAGGGGGUCAUGUUGUUGUGUAUGUCUCUGCCAGGCUAGGGGUCAGGGGGUCAUGUUGUUGUGUCUGUCUCUGCCAGGCUAGGGGUCAGGGGGUCAUGUUGUUGUGUCUGUCUCUGCCAGGCUAGGGGUCAGGGGGUCAUGUUGUUGUGUCUGUCUCUGCCAGGUCAGGGUCAGGGGGCCAUGUUGUUGUGUCUGUCUCAGCCAGGUCAGGGGUAAUGUUGUUGUGUCUGUCUCUGCCAGGUCAGGGGUAAUGUUGUUGUGUCUGCCUCUACCAGGUCAGGGGUCAUGUUGUUUUGUCUACCUCUGCCAGGUCAGGGGUCAUGUUGUUUUGUCUGCCUC